CUACGGGCCGCUGCAGUGAGGAAUAUUGCACAAUGGAGGAAACUCUGAUGCAGCAACGCCGCGUGGAGGGUGACGCAUUUCGGUGUGUAAACUCCUUUUAUAUGUCAAGAAAAUGACGGUAGCAUAUGAAUAAGCACCGGCUAACUCCGUGCCAGCAGCCGCGGUAAUACGGAGGGUGCAAGCGUUACUCGGAAUCACUGGGCGUAAAGGACGCGUAGGCGGGAUAUCAAGUCAGGUGUGAAAUCCUACAGCUUAACUGUAGAACUGCACUUGAAACUGGUAACCUAGAGUAUGGGAGGGGGAGAUGGAAUUAGUGGUGUAGGGGUAAAAUCCGUAGAUAUCACUAGGAAUACCUAAAGCGAAGGCGAUCUCCUGGAACAUAACUGACGUUAAGGCGUGAAAGCGUGGGGAGCAAACAGGAUUAGAUACCCCUGUAGUC
rnacentral:rRNA from 1 species